GCUGCCCCUAGAGGCUUUGUCCUUGUGGCUGUUGUGUCAUAGGUGUACAGGAAGUAACAGAGAGGCGAGAGACUAUGUCUGUAUUCAAUGUUCUGACCUGUCAACAUUGGAAUGAUUAGUAGCCUAACAAC